rnacentral:ncRNA from 1 species
UAAUACUCAGUGAAAAGGAAUAGUAAUAUCAGCAAGCAUUACAUAGAGAGUCGGCGGCUGGUGCAAGCCGAUAUGAUGCUGAUGUGAACUCGCCUUGGAGAUAUGUGUCAGGAAUUACAGGAUUGAUCCGUACAGUGAAUCGGAUCUAUAUCCAUGUAUUCUCAAACACAUCGGCUUCCUGCCGUUAUCAGGCAACUAAGUGAGUGAAUGGUGAAGCAUACCUGUUCGCUAACUAGGGUGGUACCGCGAGAUUCAACCUCUCGUCCCUAGC